GCCUUCGUGGUGUAAUGGUCAACACGCUUGGCGUGUAGUCGAGAAGUCCGCGGUUCGAGUCCCGGCGAGGGCA
rnacentral:tRNA from 1 species